AUACGUAGGGUGCGAGCGUUGUCCGGAAUUACUGGGCGUAAAGAGCUCGUAGGUGGUUUGUCGCGUCGUCUGUGAAAUUCCGGGGCUUAACUCCGGGCGUGCAGGCGAUACGGGCAUAACUUGAGUACUGUAGGGGAGACUGGAAUUCCUGGUGUAGCGGUGAAAUGCGCAGAUAUCAGGAGGAACACCGGUGGCGAAGGCGGGUCUCUGGGCAGUAACUGACGCUGAGGAGCGAAAGCAUGGGUAGCGAACAGGAUUAGAUACCCUGGUAGUCCAUGCCGUAAACGGUGGGCGCCAGGUGUAGGGGUCUUCCACGACUUCUGUGCCGUAGCUAACGCAUUAAGCGCCCCGCCUGGGGAGUACGGCCGCGAGGCUAAAACUCAAAGGAAUUGACGGGG
rnacentral:rRNA from 1 species